rnacentral:rRNA from 1 species
UAUUAGUCAAUGCUCGUAAGAGUGAACUAGCUAACUGAAAUCAUCUUUGUGUCAAAGAUGAUAAUAUAAGGGAAAAUAAUGAUAUUACCUUAUACUAUAGUGUCGUCCAAAUACUCGUGCCAGAAGACUCGGUAAGGCGAGAGACGCAAACGUUAGUCGUCUUAAUCAGGCGUAAAGGGUUUGUAGGCUGCUUUAAGAAUCUUAUAUAUGAUCAAUUAAAGCUAGAAUCAAAAGGAGGUUAACAUUAAUGCUUUAGGGAGAGUUGGUAUUUGUAGAUCUAAAGUAGAAAACUAUGGGCGAAGGCUUUUUUCCAAUAAUGAUUGACGCUGAGAAACUAAGGUGAGGGCAGAAAAAAGGAUUAGAGACCCUUGUAUUCCUCACUGUCAACAAUGAAUGGAAGUCAUUACAAUAGAAGUAAAGGCGAUGUUAACACGAAAAACCAUUCCGCCUUGUGAGUACGAUUGCAAAAUUGAAAACAAAAAAAUUAGUCGGUUUCGGAGCAAACGAAGUGAAGCAUGUUAUUU